CCGGGCUUUCCUCUGAAUGGCCUCCCACAAUUAUAGUGCCUUGUAAUUGCUCUCUCCGUGUCUCUCCACUAAUCUAAGAGCUUCAGAGACUGAAGCUUUAAUCUCUGAAUUCCCAGAACCCAGCUCAGUUCCUGAUAUAUAACAGGUGUUCCAGACACAGAGGAAUGGCUCAGGUCCCCAUUGCCCUCUAUAUCCCCCGCCACACCAGGUCCGCAGGUCACGCAGAUCCCAGUGAGGGGGAGCAGGAGGGCGUGGGGCUCUACUGGGGGCCACUCCACAGACCACGCCGCUCUCCCAGGACAGCCCUGCCAACCCCCAAGCCUUCUGAUGGUUAUGGUUCCAGCAGGAGAGCCCUGCUGUCAUGAAGGGCAACUGCCUGUCAGCCUGGGGUGAGCCUCCAGGAGGAAUUCAGUAAAGCUGGGAUGAAGCAAAACAGAGGCUUCCUGUGUCACUCUUGCAGCUGCGAUUGGUCUGGAAACUACCUGCUGGUGUCAUUCUCCCAGGAGAUGACCUUAAAAGACUCAGACCUCAAAUAUUUAAUGACAAACAAGUACGAUUGUCAAGAUAAAGUCCUAUGAUACUGGGUCAUUCACAAACGCACUGGUAAGCAGUGAGGGCCACACUAAACUCUGCC
ensembl:lncRNA